AGUGAACGCUGGCGGUAGGCCUAACACAUGCAAGUCGAACGGCAGCACAGUAAGAGCUUGCUCUUACGGGUGGCGAGUGGCGGACGGGUGAGGAAUACAUCGGAAUCUACUUUUUCGUGGGGGAUAACGUAGGGAAACUUACGCUAAUACCGCAUACGACCUACGGGUGAAAGCAGGGGAUCUUCGGACCUUGCGCGAUUGAAUGAGCCGAUGUCGGAUUAGCUAGUUGGCGGGGUAAAGGCCCACCAAGGCGACGAUCCGUAGCUGGUCUGAGAGGAGGAUCAGCCACAUUGGAACUGAGACACGGUCCAGACUCCUACGGGAGGCAGCAGUGGGGAAUAUUGGACAAUGGGCGCAAGCCUGAUCCAGCCAUACCGCGUGGGUGAAGAAGGCCUUCGGGUUGUAAAGCCCUUUUGUUGGGAAAGAAAAGCAGCAGGUUAAUACCCCGCUGUUCUGACGGUACCCAAAGAAUAAGCACCGGCUAACUUCGUG
rnacentral:rRNA from 1 species